UGACAAAAACAAAAAACUUAUGUAGGUCGGGCGCGGUAGGUCAUUCCUAUAAUCCCAGCACUUUGGGAGGCCGAGGCAGAUGGAUCCCCUGAGGUCGGGAGUUCGAGACCAGCCUGACCAACAUGGAGAAACCCUGUCU